rnacentral:tRNA from 1 species
GGGGCCGUAGCUCAGUUGGGAGAGCGCGACAUUCGCAUUGUCGAGGUCAGCGGUUCGAUUCCGCUCGGCUCCACCA